ACAAAAUAUUUCGGACGUACUCAUAUAAAGGCGAGGAUAUGGCUCGCAAGUUUCUACCAGACUACCGUAAAUGGUCUGACUAUGAGUAUUGCAUACAUUUGU
rnacentral:ncRNA from 2 species